CCUACGGGCGGCAGCAGUGAGGAAUAUUGGUCAAUGGGCGCGAGCCUGAACCAGCCAAGUAGCGUGAAGGAUGACUGCCCUACGGGUUGUAAACUUCUUUUAUAAAGGAAUAAAGUGAGGCACGUGUGUCUUUUUGUAUGUACUUUAUGAAUAAGGAUCGGCUAACUCCGUGCCAGCAGCCGCGGUAAUACGGAGGAUCCGAGCGUUAUCCGGAUUUAUUGGGUUUAAAGGGUGCGUAGGCGGAAUGCCAAGUCAGCGGUAAAAUCGCGGGGCUCAACCUCGCUCCGCCGUUGAAACUGGCGUUCUUGAGUGGGCGAGAAGUAUGCGGAAUGCGUGGUGUAGCGGUGAAAUGCGUAGAUAUUAGGAGGAACACCAGUGGCGAAGGCGGCCUGCUGGACGAUGACUGACGUUGAGGCUCGAAAGCGUGGGGAGCAAACAGGAUUAGAUACCCGAGUAGUC
rnacentral:rRNA from 1 species